rnacentral:rRNA from 1 species
AGCGAACGCUGGCGGCAGGCUUAACACAUGCAAGUCGAGCGGGCAUCCUUGUGGUGUCCGCGGCAGACGGGUGAGUAACGCGUGGGAACGUGCCCUUCGGUUCGGAAUAACUCAGGGAAACUUGAGCUAAUGCCGGAUACGUGCGAGAGCAGAAAGGUUUAUCUGCCGAAGGAUCGGCCCGCGUCUGAUUAGCUAGUUGGUGAGGUUAUGGCUCACCAAGGCGACGAUCAGUAGCUGGUCUGAGAGGAUGAUCAGCCACACUGGGACUGAGACACGGCCCAGACUCCUACGGGAGGCAGCAGUGGGGAAUAUUGGACAAUGGGGGCAACCCUGAUCCAGCCAUGCCGCGUGAGUGAUGACGGCCUUAGGGUUGUAAAGCUCUUUUCUUCGGGACGAUAAUGACGGUACCGGAGGAAUAAGCCCCGGCUAACUUCGUG